UCAAACUUGGUCAUUUAGAGGAAGUAAAAGUCGUAACAAGGUUUCCGUAGGUGAACCUGCGGAAGGAUCAAUGCAGAUUGUUGGUGGGGGGUGGGGGGAGCAGGUGUUUUGUCUUGCUUCUCUCCACAUACGUUCGAGGUGGGGUUAAUUCGGUUAGCCCUGUCCCGUGACACAUUUACGCAAUAAUUGUUUGACAGAGUGAUAAACAAACUAAUUCUAUACAACUUUUAACAAUGGAUCUCUUGGCUCUUGCAUCGAUGAAGAACGCAGC
rnacentral:misc_RNA from 1 species